UGGGAUUGUAGACGUGAGCCAGCACACCGG
rnacentral:piRNA from 1 species